AUACAAGGAAACGGCGGCGAUGUAGGGAAGCAAAAAGAGGAAGACUCACUUCCCUGCGAUUUCAUCACCGUCGUGCGCCAAGACUACUUCGUCUAGAAAACUCUCAGGACGGCAUACACGUUUCAUGUGCCGGCCAGCCUCAAGACCUUCAUGUGGAGAGGGUGGACACCGGGGCCAGUUACCGACGGUAAUGACGCCCUCAAGGCCAUCCUGGCCUGAAAAAUGUUAAAAUUUUGCAGAGAGAUCGUGUUGUACCAUACCAUGACCAAACCGGUUGGGUCGAACCUAGAUGAGAUGUUGUACGAUUACUUGUGGACUGUAGAAACUGUGCCGUGUAAGGAUGAUGUUGUAGGGGGUUCGUGAGGGAUGUUGUAGAUGUUGUUGCCUGUCUGAUGUGAAUACCAAGCACACAGCGCUUGCUGUUGCUAGUGUGACAUUUUGUUUCGCCCUUUGUCGGCUUGCAUUGCACAGUCCGUUGGCAAUUCCACCUUGGUGGUCAUCCUGUUUCGCGCCUGGGUUGAAAAGGUUCUCUGCUGGGUCAUACCGGUGUACCUUCCAGGUGUACAAUAAAGAGAUAAUAACGCAGCAUUGUGUUGAAUAAGUUGAGUUUUUUUAGUGUUGUGCAGAGUAUUCACGAACAGGAGGUGAUGCAUGAAGUUCAGCUCGUUACCAGGAAGCAGGAUGGAACAGACAUUCUGCUGUUUUUUUCCCCUCCUGUUACGGGCAUUGUGCGGCCGUUGGGACCUGGGAGUACGUAUGAACUGGCGCGCAAUCUCGUAUGUGGACCGACAACCAGCCUUCUUACUCUUGCUGCAACACGAUGGAUGCUUUUCUAGGACAGCGGACUCGUUCAGACUCGUCCGCGACCGGUCCCCUCUAAAAGCAAAUUAACCAUAUCUGCAACUCAGUAUUUGCUUCAUGAUCUAUAAGUUAUUAAGUUUACAGUUUCAUUACACUGCUAUAUUCACUCGCUAGCGGUACCAGUUCACACAGCAUUACGACGUAUAGCUCCGUAAACAAGUACUCCUACGUACUACACGAGACGACAUGAUCGUCACAAUAGUCACAAACUUCAAAGCAACAACAUAUCAUACACGUACAGUAGCCAUACUGUGACCGGAGGUUCUGCUCAGACCCAGAGCUUGUGCAGCGCGUGCAGCUGGCCCAGAGAGGAAGAUUUCAGAGACAGACGGUACAUCUCUUUCAGCUUGGCCGCCUCUCCCCUGCCGCCGCCGACGCCGUUGGCCUGACUAGUUACGGAGGCUGCUGGCCUGCUUGUGUCCGGGUUCUUCAGCAUGCUCUUCAGCAGGCUCUGCAGCUGGCUCCAGAACUUCGGCUUUAUGUCCAGGUUCACAUCGUCCGAAUAUUCCUCGUUUGCUCCGACCACGUGGCGGCCUUCCAGCAAGUGCAUCAGCGCGCCUUCAAGCAUCUUCAAACAGAUACGAAGAAACAUGAUUAUGAGAUCAUAGAAGAAAUCCCGUUCCACAUUCACAAAUAAGACAUCCUAGGCACGCGCGCGCGCACACACACACACAGAGGAUGUCAAUACUAAUGUGUAAGCGAAAGCAUAGCCUCAAGCCUAAAUGCUCAACCGGUUUCAACCUGCUGUCUACAGAUGCGCCUUUUUUCUUUCUCAAAAUAUCCCUAAGUAGAACUCCCGCUGCUUAGCAGUAAAUAGCAAGUAAAAAAAAAAACACUACUCCGCAAAAUUACUCUUAACACUACAAACCAAAUGCAAAAGGCAACAUACUAAACGGUUCUAAUUAGGGAUGGCACCUGCAGGGUAUGGGUACGGGUAGAGCCUCCCCAUACCCUUACCCGUCCCGUCUGAGAUUACCCAUCACCCUUACCCAUAUCCGUCAAUGGGUACAAUAUUUUCCCAUACCUGUUACCCGACGGGUAGACGGGUACCCGCGGGUAAAAUUACCCAUAUUUACAAAACAUCAAUUUAAACAACUUAUAGUUAUAAACUCCAUUGCAUCAUAUAGUUUACAAAGAUAUAUUAUAACUACAACACAUUCUUAUAAAACAACAUCAUAUGGUCAUAGACAAUAACACAUAGGCAUACACUUUCAGUUCACAAAUUAUUGACAUAAUGCAGAUUGUAGAGAUAAUUUUGAGUUUACAUAAAUUUUAUAUGGGUACAUGGGUAUAUGGGUAUGGGUUAUAUGAUCCCAUACCCGUACCCGCUCUACCCGAUGGGUUUUAGAUUUUCGUAUUUAUAUACCCAUGGAUAAUGUUUUGUCCCAUACCCUUACCCUAAUAGGGUUUUUACCCGCAGGGUACGUGGGUAAUGGGUACCCAUUGCCAUCCCUAGUUCUAAUCAGAUGACAUUAUGCCGCUCGAUUCUACACGCAACUACCCCCUCCAUUCCGAAAUAAGUGUCGUCGUUUUAGUUUAAAAUGUAUGACAGGUAAUGCACUUUCCGGAUGCCAGAAAAGAAUAAUCAUAACGAAGAUCUAGCAGACUAAGCAACUAGAAUAGAAGGAGAUGGCAAGCCAGGAAGAACAUACCGCACUAGAGUGAAAUGAAUCAGAGAUGCUAGUAGAAAGGGCAGAUUGCGCCAUAAGGAUGUUAAGAAACAUGGUAGGAUGCGUCUUCGGACCAUAGAAUUCUAAAGCCUUCUGCCAGUUCUUCUCUGCUAGCGAACCAUACCACUUGGCUUUCUUACGAAAUUUAUCCUCGUUCUUCUGUUUGACCUCCUUGUUAACCAAAUCCAGGAACUUCAAGCACAGAUCCCUUUGAUAACAACCAAGCUGAAAAUGGCCAAAGGCAGCCUCCUGUUUGCGAAGUUCACCAAGGGACUCAUAUGUAGACAAAGCCUCCCGAAAAGCAUCACUUGCUGAAAUCUCAAGAACUGUUCUGUUAGAUGAUUCAUCAACAAGUCCACCUUCGUAGCUGCCAGUUAAAAAGCUUUCCCUUGCCAAAAGCAUUCCGAGCCUCAGGUGGGUAUGGGCAUACUGGGUGUAAACUUCGUUGUACAGUGAUUUAUCAACUUCAUUGUCAGCAAUAGCAUACUUCAGUUGCCUCUUAGCUGCUGUAUAAUAGUUUAUUGCUUGAAAAUAUUCCGACUUGGCAGACUUCACGGAUUGCAUAUAUGAGCCUUCAGGAAGAUCAUACAUCUGAAAUUCUUCUAUCCUCGACGCCAAUUUCUCUGCUAAAGCUCUUCUACCAUGAGCUAAGUUACAAUUGAUCAAUAUAACAUUUGUGUGAUCAGAGACCUCUUGAAAUGCACUAAUGGCAUCAGCAAAAGCAAUCUCAGCACUACUCAGAUUUUUACUCUCAAGUCUAAUGCGACCAAGUUCAUUGAAUGCCCAACCUCUUUUCUUAAGGAUGGUGGAGAACUCUGCCGAGCGCAUAGGAAAUGCAAACAUGGCUCCCUUAGCUGCACCAUAGCAGUGAAUAGCAGAACACAAGUUGUAUUCAGUAUCUCCUGGUUUAGGACCUCCAAGGUACUUGAAAAUACCACCGCUCGCACUGGAAACAUCAUCAUUAGGUUUAUCAGGAAUAGCAUCAGCAUUACUUGACUGAUUCUCCAUGGUAUGAUCACAAUCAAGUUCAGCAUUUGCCACCGUCCUUUUCUCAUGACGAGUAUCAUUCGUGCUGUGCUGAGUUUCUUCAGAACUUUCCGUAGCUUCCUGUGCAAUAGGUUUCUCUUUAAUUUCAGUAGAUUGUGAAUGAAUGUUCCUGCCAGAUGCUUUUUUCUUUUUCUUUCUUCCAUGCAAUGUAGAGGCCUCAGGACUACUACUGCUUGCACUACUGCCACUAUUUGCCCUAUCACUUUGGCAACUACAGUUUAUCAGUGAGCAUGUUCCACAAUUCUGCUUAUCUUUUCCCAGUUUUCUCUUUAGACGUUUGACUUCCAUUGCAACUUCAUUUGACAUCCUAAGUUCACCUUCAGGCUGUUGCUCCUGGAGCACAGGUGCUUGAUGGCUGCCCAAUCGGUGAUAUUCUGCAUAGACAUCACCUACAAGCAUCCACACAUUGGCCCAGAAUAAAUAGUUUGGAGGCAACUGUUGAGCAGAAACAUCAUAACCAAAGCAUUUUGCAUUCUUGAAAUAUUCUGCUUCAUCCAAUACAAGACUUGAGUUUAGAUCACCAUCUUCCAGGCACAGCGAACUAUUGGACAUGGAUGAGAUGAAUUCAUCACCAUCUAGAUGUUUAGGCAUAGACCCAUAAACCAUGCAAGCUAAUUCCACAACUUUCAGAGUACGAUGAAGCUGCCCAUCAUUUUUAUACGCCUCUCCAAGUGCCAGAUAAGAUUCCCCCAGCAAAAGAGCAAGUUUCCACAAUUUAUGGUCCAUUUUCAGUUUGGGUAGCCACUCCCUAAUGUCGCAAACUUCAAUGCAAUCAACAUCGCCACAUCUACAUAAAGAGAAGUCAACAGGUCUCUCCCAAAUGGUGUCUGCAUUGUCAAUACAAUCAUCCUGAGUGUUCUGCAGCUGCCGGUUCCACCUUAAAGAUUUGAUAGCUUGUGAUACAUGAUGUAUAGCUGCCAACUUAGAGGAGAUAGCAUCAGCAAUUGGUUUUGAUAUCUGAGAGUUUCCAGCCUUACACAUUAGCAAGCUAUCAUCAGAGACAUCUUUUGUAGUUGAAGAUGCAGUACCAGUAUCAACAUGACCACGUGAAGAUUCUGACUGUGAAUACUCCAACAUACUAUCUACGGCUGCUGGCUCAUCCUUGCUUAUCUCUGUCAAAACAUCAUCUUGCUUUGAUGGUAAAUUCUGAAGGCUCAACUGUGGAGACUCAUCAUCCAAGUCUGUAAGAGUAACUUCCGAUUCAAGCAGAAAUGAUUCUGUUGUCAGUUCCAACUCCUCAUAACAUUUAAGGAUGAGCCUUGCAAACUGUUCAUGAGCAUAUGCCCUGACAACCUAAAACAUGAAAGAAUAAAUCUUGAGACAAAUUUCUCACCGAGAAAAUAACAGACUUGUAGAACGGUGAUAUGAUAGAUAAGUACCAGGUGAUCCUGCUUGUUGAGGAAAUCUAAACAUUUUCUGAAGAACUUUGCACAUUUUGCUCUAUUACUAGGUACCUGCAAACAUAUAAGGCCUUUAACAAUCAGUAAAGCUGUACAAAAGUACAUGUUAAAAAAAAAAAACUAGUACAUAGAGGUAAAGUAAGAGUGACAAUUCCCUGGUACCUUCGAUAAAGACAUCCUAUGAGCAACACGAUAGAGGAGUGUGCCCAGAGAGAAGAGUGAUUCCCUUCUCCCCUUGUUCAUUAAAGAAGACACAGGAUUGCACGUAGAUAUAUGAUCACCAGCAGUAUGUUUUUCAGGUAAUAUGGACAAGUCAUAUAACUGCACAACAUCUUCUUCAGCGCCUUUGUAGAGCUGAGAAAGCAAACCUUCAGUAUAAGUGCACAGGAACUAGCAUUGGUGGUUACCAGUCUAAUGCUAAAUAAAUCAAGUUGUACAUAAAAAUAUCUAGAGACUAAAAGGUUGAAUAGAAACAUAUCUAACACAUGUUGACUAUCAUAAGUAGGUUCGAAAGCCAUACCCAAUAUGCACCAGGGUCUUGCUUACAGUUAUUCUGAAGGAACCUUAGGACAGCUAGGCCAUUUUGCUGGACAACCUGUGGAUGAAAUGCAGGCGUGCCAUCAUCGGACACACCCUUAAGUAGAAAUAUAUCAUCAUUUUUUAGAAGCUCAUAGCCUUGGACAACACCAUUCUGAUGAUAACAUAUGGCCAAUUCUGGCACACUUGCCAUUACAUUGUCAAGCCAAGCUUCUAGCCAGUUCAAUGGAGUAACCUAUCAAAAGCAAUUUGACAGCAGAGAGAGUAAGACAAUUUGUCAGCAGAGAGAGUAAGGCAAUUUGUCAACAGAGGGAGUAAGGAAAGAAAAUAUGAAGCCAAAUUAAACAUAAAGCAUACCUGUCUUGAAACAUCCCAUAGGUGUAAGCUGACUGCAAUAUAUUUCUCAUUGCUAAAUAUAAGCAAGUCGCUACCCAAGAGGAUAUGGAAAUUGUGGAACUGCCAAAAGCAAACCUUCCGAAAUCCAUUGUUCCCCACUCUCCUACUCUUCUCAGAUUCUUGCACCUCACAAUUGGGGGUUUCACCAACACGAGUGGUUUUCCUAACAGGGUCCGAUCCUGGAACUUUUUGCUUAUUUUCCCUUGCACCCCAGUACAGGCUUUCACAAGUACCAUGUGACGGUUUUCUACUUUUACUGAUAUUCUGAUCCAAAUACGGCGAUGUGCUAAAAUUAGAAGAGGAGGACGAAUCAAAGGAACCCUCCAUAUGACCGAAGGGUCCAUGCAACAUGGAUGCUGUUUGCUUGUCCUGUGAUGGUUGAUGACUUGGUGGGCAAUCACAUGCCUCUGCCCUAACCGAGUGCAUCGCAAAGUUCUUCAAAAUUGAAGGAUCAGAUCCUUUAGGUUGGUUAUUUUGUCUUCUAAAUAUCUUUUCACCUUCAUCAACAUCAGGCCUGCAACAGAAUGUGGAGUGGAUCAUUAGCAUUCACUACAUUGAGUAUGGUCGUUUUGAAGUAGUGAGCACCUUACCCGGAGUUUAAAAUGAGUGUGUCUCCAAUACGGCUAACAGCAAUAGAUACUUGUGCCUUAGAGUAAGGUAUUUUAAAUAUCUGCUUUAGAAUAUCAGUUGGAGCAAUCACAUCUAUUUCAUCGCCAUAUUCAGCUAGGCCUGACACGGCUAGUGCUUCACACUUCCUUGAUAAGUUUUGGUUGAAAAGUCCACUUCCAUACCGUAAUCCUAAAGAAUAUGAAGAAACAUAUAUCAACAGAAAUGUAUUGCAUGCCAAAAAACUUUAAUAAUUUUGGACUACUGGACCAUGUGGACAGUGGUGUGAUAAGAACACUGCAUAGAUGGUAAUCGGCCGCAUAUUCGGUGCUAAUGGGGAACCAUCAUGAAUACCUGAUCCAGAGGCCUGUCCGCACCAUUAUAUGUUUAAUCACCUGACUAAUGCAAUUAGUCGGAUAACUUUUGUGCAAUCACACAACGAACUCGUAAAGCCUAAAAAAGAACACAAGGUUUUUACCAGAUCUGCUGACAUGAAGCAGAGCAAUCACGGACCGGUACCAUCGAAGAUAUCAGUACCACCCCAUGAUGUCACCUAAAGCCUUUGAAACCUGUUUGUGUGCUGAAUGGAAUGCUUGCCUCCCAGUUUAUCCCUUGAGCCGAUGGAGUUAGAGCUUCUAUUGGAAACAGCAAAGGGGAGGUGGAGAGCUAAAAACGGGAAUGGGAAGAAAGAUGUACAAGGGGAAGGCGAAGGCUCACAUAUCCAAAAGGGGAGGUGCUUCCUUAUCUUAUUACAUAGGAUCGCCUUUAUCAACUGUUGUUUGUUUGUUUGGAGUGGUUUGCUAGGCUUUCUACUAACCACCUCGACAUUCUUUAGUUUGUUUUUAUUAAUUCCAAAUACACCAAUGCAUUAAUAGCACACAGUUUUCCAUAUAAUUGGUAGGCGGCACAUUUAAGUCUGCCAACCAUAUUUUGUCUUCAGCAAAACUGGUGAACAGCACAUCACUUCCGCAAAUUGUAGGAAUGAUGCGGCAGUGGCCUAGGUCGCAUCCUGCGGGUAAGUGCUGUUUCAGGUAAUUAGAACCAGGUUAGUGGGCUGGAAGAUAGACGUUGUCGGUAGCAAUAGGACGAGAGAAAAUAUGUUUCCUGCCUGCCUUUGAAGAAUUCCCAAAAUGAUAAAAAAUAUUAGCUAUUUCUAUAUCUCUAGCUUGCAUAAUCUUCUUCUGGACUCUUUCCUAAUAUGCCUAACUCUCCUCCUGGAUUAUUAAUUUAUGUACUGUUCCUGCUGUGUGCCAUGGACUACUACAGUUUCACCUCCUGUGCUUUACACAGUUACACUACAGCAUUGGUAUCUCAAACAGACUGAUGUCCGUUAUUUGAAAGGUUUUGCUGCUGCAUGUACCACUGCAGCAAUCAUCGAAUGAAAGGUAUCAUGAACAUGAAAUAGAAAAUCCCAAAGCUGGUAUAAUCACUCUCUCACAGUCUCUAACUUCUUACCUUAGAUUUACACAUUUACAAGGGUAAUACUCACAAAAAGAAGAAUAUUCAAAAUAUUUAUUGCUAACCAAGCAAAUAUGCUUCAAUAAUAAUUCACCAGGUCAUGUCACCUAGAGUUUUCACAGGUAGCAUCCAUCCACUGUAAAUACCAAACAUCAUUUAAUUAUAUAGGGUGUGAUUGAGAAAGCACUUGGAUACAUGUAUAUGCUUAUCACACGCUAAAACAGUUAUAAUUUUAAUAGCACACGCAUGUUUUUACCAUCAGUAAUGCUGCAUUAUACUACAAACUGCCAAGAAGCCUAGAUUUUUUUUUCACAAUAAAACUAUAUUGACGAAGGCUCGACAGAGGUCACCUUCAGUACUCUUUGCAUCCGUUGGGAAAACCUUCUCUGGGAGGUUUGGAAUCACGGGGAGUGUGUUGAGGUCGGUCUCCAGUGGCAGCAUUUGAUACCUUGGAGCUCCAGUCCCAGUCCUGCAAUAUUUGUGACAACAAGAGCAUGAUUAAACUAGUGGUUCUCCUGACUCAGACAUUUGCGGACAACGAGAAAUCUCAUUUGAUAACAGUAACGUGUCGCUGUACACUUCCCAACAUGAUUUUCCCUAUCCCGCAAAAAAAACAUGAUUUUCCCUACAUACUCUUUACCUCAUGAUGUCCGAAUGAAGAAGGGGGGGAGAUAGUGUCCACCACCAUUCUAUGUUCCAGAAAAAAAUAUCUAGAUUAUGCAGGUUUGUAAAUUGUAACCGCUACAUUGAUAUACGGUGUGUUCAUGAUUCACUGGACCAGUCGUUGCUAAAGCAGCAAGCAAGCCCGCAAUCAUCUCAGCAUAGUCACUCUGCCCCCAAAUAUACCAUAACAAUCAACUAACUGAAAGAGCGAUUGACGUUUCAUCUCCAGGCUCUGCUCAGCAUUUGCGGACUAGAGGAAAUUUCAUUCGGUAACAGUUACGUGUCACUUUACACUUCCCAGCAUGAACGUGACUACACACUCGUUACUUGAUGCUGUCCAUUCUAGGUGGUAGGUUCCAACACAAAAUCUAUGUUCUGCUAGUUUGUAAGUUGUAACAGUUACACUGAGAUACCAUGCAUUCACAUUCACUAGUCUGAUCUUUGCUGCAAGCAGGACGCAUCCAGUAACUGAAGAAGGGAUUGACAUUGCAUCUCCCAGGAUCUACUAUUCAAGCACCGUCUUAAGCCCUCACCAACGAAUCACAACCAGGAACAAUUCUAACUGUACAACCAAAGCAGAUAGCGCUCUUCCCCAAUCACAUUUUAGCUCAAAUUCGACACCACAGCCCUCCAAAUCUCACAAGGACAUUCAGCACGCAAGCUAUAAGCAAUAUAAACGCUCGGGUGAUUCGGAUUGAACAGCCUCCCGACGGAUUCGACCAGGAGCCUGCAUCAGAGCCCAACAAAUCGCACGAAGCAUCAGCUAGACGCCUAGACUUGCACACACGCCACUUCGAUCGAACAAGCGCAGGGGCGCGGAGAAUCGAGGGGAGGGGGAGCUCACGGGGAAGCGGAGGGGAGGAGGGCGGGGGGGUAGGCGGAGUCGUCGGUGGGGACCGGGAGGGAGCCCACGCGGAGGUAGCGCGCCGGCGGCGGCGCGGCGAUCUCCAGCCGCCCCACGCACUGCAUCUCGCCCGACGCGUCCAUCGGAGCCGUCCUUCCUCCUCGCCGCCGGCGUCGGCUUGUGGAGCUCGCUCGGAUCGCGGCAGCGGCAGCGCGUUCCGUGCCCGGCUUGACGAACGCCCACGGAGUCAGUGGAGAGUGCUAGACGCUUCUACCUCUCUCCCCUUUGGGCCUGUCAUGGAGCAGCGGCGGCUGCAGUGUUGUUACGGACGUCCGAGGAAGCCCAGUUUGUUCUUCUUUUACGGGGCCGUGACGGGCCCGUCUAUGAAUCAUCCUAUUCUUCGCCUUAAGCGACGGAUCGUCGCUAAAUGUGCAGGCGGCCCCAGUAAAAACGUUGUUCUAAGAAAAGGUAUAAUAGACUAAAAAAAGAAAGGAAAAAGAUUCUUCUCAAUCGGCGGAUUACAACAUUGCAUCCAUCAUGUUUGUGGCCGUUGGAUUGGAUUUGAUCGUUUGUUUGCUUAAUGCACCUCACAUGGCUAUAGGAGCCCACAUGUGUCUAGAAAUAUCUUAUCUUCAUGUCCUUAUCCUCAUCUCCACAAAAGUCACGGCUCACUACUCGUCUUCUUCAUGGAUUAAUCUCGUCACUCUCUCUCAAGCAUCCACACGUCGGCCGUUGUUCCAUUCCAUCCAAUCCCUUGUGCGUCGGCGUUGAGAAAGGAGGGGUCCCAGCUGCGGCUCUCCAUGGAUUAGUCUGUUCUCCUUCUGUAAGAGGGGCUCGUCUCGGUAAGGUCCGGCGGCGUUGACGGGGAACUUGGCAGUUUCGAUGCUCGCCGGCGGCACGACAUUGCUAUUCCCUCAUCGGUGGUGAUUUUUUUUCUUGCAACAUCCUCCUUAUUGUAAGAAAGAUCCUACAACAUCAUCAAUGUUGCAAAACUUUCAUCCGUCAAUAUCUUUGUUUGAAAAAAAACUGCAACACUACCUUUAUUGUAAAAAAAAAUCCGCAACACAACCUAUGUUGUAAAAAAAUUCUGCAACAUAACCUUUGUUGCAUAAAAAUUAUGUGACACAUUCAUUAUUAUAAAUGUUUCUGCAAUAAAACUAUUGUUGCAGGAAUCUGCAACACCAUCUCUGUUAUAAAUGUUUUUGUAACAAAGUCGUUGUUACGGAAAUUAAUAAGUGGGAAAGGGGACAAGCAGGACGUGGCAGGAGAUCGAUCGGACGCUGACCGCACGUAGAUCCAACGACCAUCGAGGUGAUGGAUGUAUAGCAUACAUCAACCGAUGGAUGCAUAGCAGUCUCCAGAAAGGAAAGGGUAGAAAAUCGUUAGCUGAGAAGAAACGUUAAACAAAAGAGGUUACAGAUUAAGAAAAAAAACAAAAAUACUAGUGAUUUAAAAAAUUGAAUUCAAAAAAUGCAGAAUUAUGAAAAUACUCAUGGGUUUAAAAAACACACACAUUUUGAAAAUGUUCAUCGGCUAAAAUAUAUUCAUAAAAUUAGGGAAACAUCAUGUAUCCCAACCCGCGCGCCUGCCUCGGCGUUGUCCUCGCCUCCUGCAAGGGCAAGAAGGUAGACGUGAUUUGAACAUGGUCGGUGGUACUCGUUCCUUGAUGUUAUGGUUUCUGUCAGCAGAACUCUAUCAAUUUAAUUCAUACUUCUUACGAUCCAAAAUAAAUGUUACACUUUUGGACUUGUUUUGGGGUUAGUUCAAAAACAGCUACACUUUUUAUGGAUAGGAGAUGGUGAUGCAUCAGUUCACCUUACGUUACUUUGCUGGUUGUAUUGUGAUUUUAGGUCACGGAAAAGCAAAAAGGAUGCGCUCUUGGCUCUUGCUCUGUUUGGUUUGCAGUUUUUAAGUGACAUUAAUCAUUAAUAUGAAAGUUUCAAUGUAGGUCUAGGAUGAUAACGACAAUGAUGAGAUAGGUGGUUGUGCCAGUGCAACGAGCGUUCUUGCAGGGAGGGUGGUCAUUGAGACCUCGUGUGGAGGCAUGACCUUGAUGUUUAAAUCUAUCAUUUUUAAGAAGUUGCUCCCCACUAUUUUCUAUUCUUUCACCAUGCACAAUGUCCACAUCAUCAUAACGCCACGUCAACGUUUUCUCAACAUGCAGGCUCCACCUCAGCAAGAAAAAGAAAAAGAAAUCAUUAGGUUACAAUCUUAGUGGGUCAUCAGAAUUGUUUUAGGCGUUACAUGCCACAUCGGCCCUUUUUUCGAACUCAACAUUGUUUUUGUUAGAAACUAAUUAGUAGAUUAAUUAAUUAGCAAAGGGAUGUGUCCAACCCGAACAGUUGUGUCUCUUCUCUCUCUUUAUUGUCAACAUGCAUCUGUUUUGAAGGGAUGUCUUCGAACAGACACCUCUUCUUCGCACCUUUUUCAGAUGUAUAUAUACUUGAGAAUCAAUAGAAACAAGAAUAAUGGUCCAUUUACUUUCAUUAAUCUCGUUUUACUCUAACACGUUAUCAACGCGUGGCUCUCCGUUGAGAGAGAAAGGCCGGAGGGGCCGACGAGGAGGCCUCUCAAGGACGCCUUCGACACACCGCGGCGCCCGAUCCGUGGAGGAGAGCAGUGGUGGAGUCUCCCGGUGUUCUCGCAUGGACUAGUUGCGCCAGAAACCAUGGCCUUCGGCGUGGUAGUUCUGCGACGGUCGGCGUCGUACUGGCUGGCAGGACAACGCUCAUGCAAUCGCUGUGGCAAGGCAGGACAGCGAGAUGCGACGCACACCCCAACGUAAUUCACGGCCUAGAGGCAAGAAGCGCCACAUCAGACAUCACCGGCGGCAAGUCAACGCCAGGGCCAGCAGCGCACGCCGAUGUGUCCUAGGCAGUGCAUCAAUCAUCAAUGAGAAGAUGAGCAUGCUUCUCACGCAUACAUCCAUUAAAGAAAUCAAUCACAAGAACAAUGGCUUGGUUUACUUUUGUUAUUUCUGACUUAACAAAUUACUAAUCGUCUUGUGAUUGUCGAAUUUUUUUCAUGAACAGCGGUGCAAUUGAUAGACGACCAAGGAACGCAAGAAGGCCGAGCGCGGCGAUGAUGAUGGAAUCCCGCGGCUCCGCACGGCAACGCUCUGCGGACGCGACGAGCGGCUGGCAAAUCGGAGCUACACGAGAUUCUAAGCAAGUUUCAUGUAGGACACGAUCAAAUCGAAGCUACGGUUCAAAAACUACGAGCAAAACAAGAAAUGACUACAAUCUGCCAAAAUCAGCCACAUAACAUUUUCUACACCCCACAACUACGGGCUACACAACUCCGAUAAACUCAAGCAAGGCAUGACACGAAAGAGGGCAAGAAGCACUACUACAAACAACUAACAACAACUAGCAUGACAGCAAGGAGCACUAGGAAAAGAAGACACAAAAUGACAUCUCACACACUAUUUCAGACUUAGUGAAAAUAACACUUCAUUAAAGUGCAGUUUUUGAUCUGAAACAAUAUUGACAGCAGCAAAACCAAUAGCUAAAGGACUCCAAAUGGCAUGAAAAUUCACAGCAUGCUAGAGAAACACAAGGUUUACAACUUACUCCAUUGGACUAACCUCAAAAGAGCUACAGAUCAAAAGAUAGAAGCAAGACAAGACAACAACAAAAUAAUAACAGAAUCCCGACUUAAAAAUAUUUCAGCUCCUCCAAAACAGCACUAUUUCUAGCAACUUGAGGGCAAUAAAAACACACCUAAACAUGCAUUUCUAUUGCAACUAAAAAUACCAGGGGCUAGUCUAAACAUCCAAGAUCAACUCUCUAGCUGACAACUCCUUCAAACGAAGCACAGAAUAAAUCCUACAAAUUAAACAAGAGGGCAACAUGGCAAAAUAUCGCGCGAACUAAUUUACUCAAAAGCUAAAACUAAUUGCACAAAAAAAUCCCAUGGAUUUUUAUACCCCGGAAACAUAUAAAAUAUGUGGGGUUGCAACACAAAAAUAAUGCCACACAAAAAUGCGAGAUAAUUACCUAUACAUGUGAAAAUAAACUACCGACAAUCCCUACAUGCAAAAAUUCCAAUGACCGCUUAAAAUACAUGGAAUAAUGGUCUCUAAAACAUGAGCAUUUCUAAUACGGCAUUCGAGCAAUUCGAACACGCGCGGAAAAUUAAAUACGCGACUAAACCUAUUGGGACAGCACGCCAAACGAUGCAUCCGGCAUUCUAAACGGCGUCAAACAAAUAUGCAUGUUGCAAAAACGGAUUCUACGCAAAAAUCUACACGAUAUACAUAUCUAAAUCAUAGCGAUCCGACAUACGGAUUAAAAACUACGGAAGUUAGAAAUAUAGCCUAUUUUUGAAAAGAAUAAAAUUCGGAUUAAAUCCUAAAAUACUACUGGGCCGAAUCUACACUACACGGGCCUAAAUAGAGCGACGCAGGAUAGCUAAUGCACGCCUAGGAGAGAAAUAGCCUUGGGGGAGGGGUCUCACCAAAGGGCCUUCGGGUCGGUUGGGAGGUCGCAACAGAGGGGAGGUGGCCGACUUGGGCCGGUCGCGGAGGUGGGCCUCGGGGCUGUUCGGCCGGCCUGGGCGCUGGGCGAGCGAGGCCCAGGUGCGCGGUCAACGCCAGGGAGGGGUUCCCCUCGUCUCCCUCCCGCCGCCUCCUGGGAGCGAGGCCACGAGGGCAGAUCGGCGGCUCCUCGAUCGACCUUGACAACGGCAGCGGUACACGACGAGGCUGGAGCAGCCGGGAACGGAUGGGGCAGCAGAGGCCGACCGGGUCCGUCUACUCCACACCGGAUCCAUGCGGCGGAAGGCGAGGACGGGGCGGCGAGGGACGACGGCUGGAGAUCGAGGCAAGGGCGGCGGGCUUAGGCGGCUAGCAGGGGAGAAUCGCGACGAGCGGCGGCGGCUAGAUCCGACGACCGGCGGCAGAGGGAGCUGCUCGGGGCACCUCUGCGAGGGGCUGGUGGGGGUGCCCCGGCGAGGCAGCUCGGAGCUCGGGCAUGGGAGCUCGGUGCCAUGGGUAGGAGCCCGGGGAGCUCGCGGGGGCGGCGGAUCUGGGCCCGGGACGGGCCUGCUGCGGGCCCGGCGGGCCCUGGCGGCUGGCAGGAGGUGGGUGGAGCUGAGUUGCGGCUAGGGUUUGAGGGGUGGCGCGGAUUUCGAGGAGGAGAGAGGAGUGGGUGCCUAUUUAUAGACGUAUGGGCUAGGUUUAUCCGAAUCCGGCCCCGUUUUCGCCCACGCGAUCGUAACCGAACGAACUUGGACGCGGGGUCGGCUAAAUGACCGCGUAGAGUAGGCUAGCCGGGGAAGAGAGGGAAACGGUGCGGCGCGGCAACAAAUUUAAAAACACCGACAAACGUCCGACGAAUAACCGGAGACGGUACCGCUACGGUCGACCGUUCGGGUACUAGACGGACUCCGAUCGCGACGAAAUUCGACACGGCGGCCUGGCUAUAUUAAAAUAAGACCGCACGUCAAAUCUCAACCCGAUCAGAGAAAGUUUUACGCACACUUUUAAAACAGGGUUUCGAACGAUGCCGCGGGCGCGUGCGAGUACGGUCAGGCUCAAAACGGACAACGACGAGAGCCGGCAACUAACAACGGAGGCAAGUUUUGAAAACGAGCGGCAACGGAGAUGCCGAUGCAAUGCAGAUGAUGCGCAUGAUCCAACAAAUAAAAAUAGACACACGACGAAAACGGAAAGAGAGGGGAAUCUUCUGGAACGUCGGCAUCGGGCUGUCACAACUCUCCUACACUACAAGAGGAUCUCGCGCCCGAGAUCCAAGAAUGAAAGGGGGAGAGGAUGAGAAAACAAGAGGUAAAACUUAGUCGCUUCUUUGAAAAACGAGUGAAACCAACGAUCCUUGAAGGUUGCAAGGCGAUGAGGAAUGAUAUGAGAAAGAAGCAACAAUUCACGGAAAAUUUCGGCAGCACUUCGGUAGGAAAAUGGGACAAAAAAUUCGAUAAGAUGGAAGGAAUAGACAAUAUUCACAACAAACAAGUAAAUAGAACAAGGGAACACCAUGAUCUUGAUAGAACAAGAUGAUAGACCCAAAAGAGCAACAUCACAAAGCCUGAGGAACAAUAGAAUAGGAACUAGCUCAUACGGAAGAAGAGAAUGAAGAGAGAAUGACAAUUACUAUCUCAAAUGAACUUGACAAGCACCCUUGCGAGAAGAAUUGAACGGAGUUGUUGGAAAAAUAACAACGAAAAGAACAAGACAGUAGUGGGCUUAUGGAAACCUUUUCAAACUAAUGAAGUGACAACCAGCCACUAAGAGAACAAGGAUUGAUUGGGAGAAACAAGAUAUGAACAAAUACUAACACCAAGAGGAUACAUUGAGAACUUGGAUUAAUGACAAGCACCAUGAUAGCAACAAACCAUAGGAAAAGCUUUAGAUGAAAUCCAAACGAAGAUAGCGCAAUGAAUAAAUCAUGGGUUGAAAAUAUCCCAUGAACAUAGAAUUGGUGGGUUUAAUUAUCUCAUACUUGAAAGGAAAUCUCUUCGAGGCUCCUACAAUAACAAGAAUGCUAUAAUACCACCUCAAAGGAUAACGGAAGAACAAAUGCAUUGAAAAUGGAAGAGAAAGAAUACUUGAGGUUCUCCAACAAGAAUCUUGAAGAACACUUGAGAAUGAAUUGAAAUCUUGAUGAACCACCAUGAAGGACCUCCGUAUACGAAUGAAUGAUGCAAUGAUAUGAAGGUAGAAAGAAUAAGAUUAUGACCUUGACAAGAUUUAGAUGAAGCAACAUGAAGAGAUACUUGAGAAAACUUGGAACUCCGGAAAAGAAAGAUAAGAACACUAGAGAAAAGGAAUUGAUAUCAAGAGCCACUCCGGAAGAAGAAUUGAAACCAUUUGAUGAAACAAGAAUAAGAAUUAUGUUAUGCUUAUCCUUAUCAAGUUUAAUUGAUGACAAGCAACGGAUUUAGCAUAUCACUUAUUCUACUAGAAAUGAAUUUUUGAAGAUGCACAGAGAGAUAAGCACCACUUGAGGCAUAAUUGAAGGAAGCACAAGUGAGAAUUCACAAUUGAAUGGAAUAUCAAGAAAGCAUGGAGGCACAAGAGAAUGAAGAGAUCAUAAGCCAGCUGAGAGAAAACUUGAACAAGGCACCGGAUAAUCGAGAGACGAGCGAAGAGACAACAAUUGAGAAGAAUUGAGGGAGAAAGCUGAAAACUGAGAAUGAAGAAUCUUCUGAAAUGAUGGCCUUCGGAGGAUCGAGAAUGAAAACAAUUCAGAAAUGCAUCGGAUAGCAAGAAAUGAAUCACUCAUGAGUGAAAACAAAUUCAAUAUGAUAACACGAAGCUGAAAUGAAAUCUUCAAGAGAAUGAACCAAAAUUCGAGAGAAACCUCCUUCAAAUUUGCAAGCUGAGAAUGAAGACGAGAAACAACACCAAGAAUACUGAGACACUACGGAAUAAUGAAGAAUGAAAGGUUGAGCCAAAUAUGAGAAUAAUUCGAAUAGAUCUUAAAGAAAGAAUAUGACUGAUGAAAUUCAUACUUACGUCAUAGUUGAAAAGAAUUAAAGAUCUCCGGAUAAUUACAAGAGCCAGACAAGAUCCUGGGAAAACCUGUGGGUUAUGGGCCCACUUAAAGAAAUCACCGUUGAAACAAUUGCUAGAAUGAGAGAUAUUGCACUGGUAUAAGAAAACUAGAUGAGGUUAGCACCUCAAAAUAAUUAAAAGAAUUGAAAACGAGAAACUACUGAAAUAUCUUUAACACUCCGGAUAGAAAGAGAGAGGAAUUAAUAAACAAGAUAGGCUGAAAGAAUUUCCAACGUCGGAAAGAAUUUAAUGGUUGAAAAGGAUAUGAUGACCAUGGAUAACUGAAUUAAAUUCAUCGGAAAAGAUAACAAGAUUGAAUAAAGAAGAACACGAAGCUCCUGAGACUCUUCACAAUGAAUCACCGGGUAAGAGAGAAAAGCACAGACAGCGGAAGCACCACUGAAUAAGAAGGCACUUGGAUGAAAUCCAAACACUGAAGAAAAGGGCGGGAGGGCGUGGAAAAACAAAGACAACAUGGGGCAGAUGAGAUGAACUCCGGAAUGAAAUGAGAGAAUGAUCUGCAACAACUGGAGAAGAUUGAAUUCAGUUGCACAGAAGCACACCGGUAAAAUGGAAUUGAUACAACGACUCCGGUCGACAAGAAUUGAUAAGACAACUGAUUGAGCAAAAGAAUUAGCAUUCACGUAAAAAUAUAAGAACACCUCUUAGGAAAGAUCUGAAAUCACCAUUUGACAUCGAAACAACUUGAAUUACCAUAGUUCAACAAAACAAAGGGUGAGGAUUUGUUGGAAGAUUGUCCUAUAAGCAACUACUUGAACUCCCACCUAUGAAUUCCCGAAAUAUGUGGUCAUGCAAUCUGGUACACGCAUACAAGGAGUAAUAUCACACAACUCCUAUACUAACCCGUCACCUGUAUCACAUCCGUCAACACACGGCCAGAAUCUCGGACCUUCAUCUACAACAGACCCUCGUGAUCACAACGAUACGAAGUAUGGCAGUACUCCUGAACAAUCUACACCAGUACUGGGGACAUCGGGGUUAUCUCGCCACUACUAGUAUUGAAGCAAUUAUGAACAUCCUUCGUUUUGAGAUACUAAGAAAUCUGAAUGAUAACGAUGUGCUGAAGAAUCCCUUGGAGCUCAACUCCCCUGAAACUUAAAGCAGAUAGGAGGCACCAAGACAGAACUCCGUCACAUCGGCAUCAUAUAGAUCUCAAGAAUAUCCGCGUGAUCCUAAAAAAAAUUUGAGUGAGAAAAGGAGUAGAAUAAAUUAUUACGUCAAGAUUCCUCACCAGAGCAUAGAAGAGGAGAAAAAAGAAUCCUACUCUCUGAUAUAUAAUUAGACUCAAAGCAGUUUUUUUCACUAGACUCGACUCUGCCAAGUUCGAUCAAUCAAGGGGGCUCCUAGGUCGGUACUGCUCUGAUACCAACUUGUCACGCCCAAGAUGCGACCCUAUCCCCAGUUUGGCACGAGGGCCUCGUCAGGGAUAGAAGCGCAUCUCGUCGUGUCGCAAGAAUGGAUAUCGUCACAAGUACAUGUACUGAAAAGAAGAGAUAUAUAUAGAGUUGGCUUACACUCGCCACAAGCUACAUCAGAGUCACAUCAGUACAUUACAUAAUCAUCAAGAGGAAGAGCAGGGUCCGAUUACGGACGAAAACAAACGAGAAAAGAAGAAAGACGUCCAUCCUUGCUAUCCUAGGCUGCCGGCCUGGAACCCAUCCUAGAUUGAUGAAGAAGAAGAAGCAACUCCAAAUGAACAAUCAACACGCUCGCGUCAAGUAACCUUUACCUGUACCUGCAACUGGUGUUGUAGUAAUCUGUGAGCCACAGGGGACUCAGCAAUCUCAUUUCCAAAGGUAUCAAGACUAGCAAAGCUUAAUGGGUGAGGUAAAGUUAAGUGGUGAGGUUGCAGCAGCAGCUAAGCAUAUAUUUGGUGGCUAACUUACGAGUACAAGAAAUAAGAGGUGGAAGAUCUACGCAUAGCGGGCGUGAACUACUGUUGAUCAAAUAAAUGAUCCUGAACACCUACCUACGUCAGACAUAACCCCAUCGUGUCCUCGAUCGGAGAAGGAACUCGCGAAAGAGACGGUCACGGUUACGCACUCAGUUGGCAUAUUUUAAUUAAGUUAACUUCAAGUUAUCUAGAAUCAGUGUUAAACAAAGUUUCCACGUUGCCACAUAACCGCGGGCACGGCUUUCCGAAAGAUUUAACCCUGCACGGGUGCUCCAACUAGUCCAUCACAAAUUACCACAAGCCGCAUAGAAAUCCUCAAUCACGAAGCUCGCGAUCUCGUUGGAUUCCCUAGUGGAAAACCUCAACUCUAAGAUUACCCAAAGCAUCAUCGGAAUCCCGAUGCACAAGAUAUUUCGUCAAAGGUAAAACUAAUCCAGCAAGGCCGCCCGACGUGUCGACGAACCCGAUAGAAGCCGCGUAUCUCGUUCUCAGGACACGACGGAUGGGUCACACUAGGAGAACCAAACCUCGGGUUGCCCCGUGGUGGCCCCGUAGUCUGCCAGUCUGGACCAACACUCAUGAGGAGCACUGGCCCGGGGGUUGAUUAAAUUUCCUCGGGUGCCGGCGGGUCCCUAUGCAUUAUUAUUAGGUUAUUAGGAAAAUGUAGUACCAAAGUUGGGCCUUGCCAGACCAGUCUUAAUCUAAAACGAAUUAUCAAGGGGGUCCCCAUAACAACCCCGAUCGUGUUAGGAGCGCUCAUUUAUGGAACAUAACACCGGUAGUCGGAAACUAAGGGGGCAAAGGUGGAACAAAACACCAGGCUAGAAAGGCCGAGCCUUCCACCUUUUACCAAGUAUAUAGGUGCAUUAAAUUAAAUAGCAUUUAAUAUGGUGAUAUAACAAGGAACCCAUGCUUUCACAUGGAAGCAAUGCACCUGCAACUAGCAACGCUAACACAGGGUUAAGCAAGCGGUAACAUAGCCAAUCAGUGGUUUGCUAGGUCGAACAGGUUGAAGGUUAACAUGGCAUUGUUGAGAGGCUAAUAUUUAACAGGUGGUAGGCAACGAGACAUAAUCGAUAGAAGCGAUAAAACUAGCAUGGCAAUGAUAGUAAUGGUAUCUGGGGAAAUGAUCAUCUUGCCUGAGAUCCCGCUUGGAAGAAGAAUGCCUCCGUGAAGCAGACGAACCGACGUAGUCGAACGGGUCCUCACUUUCCGACACGCUUCCGGAACUCUAUCGAGACGGAGGAAACCGGAAACACAAAUCAACACAAGAUAUUCACCACACGAUGCAACAACACAAAUGAUGCAUGAGCAUCUGAAUACAUGCAAGUCACGACAUGGCAAAUCACACAAACAAACACUACACAUUAAGUGAAGUUCAAUAUGCAACGAGUUGCAUAUUGACGAAACUCCACAUAUGAAUUAUUUAGUUCACUCCCAUUUAUUUACACGGCAAUAUUAAUGUGUCAAACAUGCAAGAGGUGAAGCGGAAAUUAAACUACCUAUCUAGACAUUUUAAAUGAGGUCGGAAAUGACAUAUAGCAUCUCCGAGAAGACCUCACAUGUUAAUUUACAAUUCUGUCCAGAUCUGAAUUAACACAUUAAAUUAGUUUUUAAACAGAAAAACAAAUAGGUUCACGUGAUUCUACGCGUCAUUACAAGCAAUCUACACAUAAAGAACAUCUCCAACGGAGCUACGGAUCAAAAGAUACGGACACCGCAAGAUAUGAUGGCAUGGAUGCAAUAUGUGUGCAACGACGGUCACGAGCACUUCAAAACAUACAACCAUCAAGGGAAAAUGAAACUACACGAGAUUCUAAGCAAGUUUCAUGUAGGACACGAUCAAAUCGGAGCUACGGUUCAAAAACUACGAGCAAAACAAGAAAUGACUACAAUCUGUCAAAAUCAGCCACAUAGCAUUUUCUACACCCCACAACUACGGGCUACACAACUCCGAUAAACUCAAGCAAGGCAUGACAUGAAAGAGGGCAAGAAGCACUACUACAAACAACUAACAACAACUAGCAUGGCAGCAAGGAGCACUAGGAAAAGAAGACACAAAAUGGCAUCUCACACACUAUUUCAGACUUAGUGAAAAUAGCACUUCAUGAAAGUGCAGUUUUCGAUCUGAAGCAAUAUUGACAGCAGCAAAUCCAAUAGCUACAGGACUCCAAAUGGCAUGAAAAUUCACAUAAUGCUAGAGAAACACAAGGUUUACAACUUACUCCAUUGGACCAACCUCAAAAGAGCUACAAAUCAAAAGAUAGAAGCAAGACAAGACAACAACAAAAUAAUAACAGAAUCCAGACUUAGAAAUAUUUCAGCUCCUCCAAAACAGCACUAUUUCUAGCAACUUGAGGGCAAUCAAAACACACCUAAACAUGCAUUUCUAUUGCAACUAAAAAUACCAGGGGCUAGUCUAAACAUCCAAGAUCAACUCUCUAGUUGACAACUCCUUCAAACGAAGCACAGAAUAAAUCCUACGAAUUAAACAAGAGGGCAACAUGGCAAAAUAUCGCGCGAACUAAUUUACUCAAAAGCUAAAACUAAUUGCACAGAAAAAUCCCAUGGAUUUUUAUACCCCGGAAACAUAUAAAAUAUGUGGGGUUGCAACACAAAAAUAAUGCCACACAAAAAUGCGAGAUAAUUACCCAUACAUGGGAAAAUAAACUACCGGCAAUCCCUACAUGCAAAAAUUCUAAUGACCGCUCUAAAAUACAUGGAAUAAUGGUCCCUAAAACAUGGGCAUUUCUAAUACGACAUUCGAGCAAUUCGAACAUGCGCGGAAAAUUAAAUAAGCGACUAAACAUAUUGGGACAACACGCCAAACGAUGCAUUCGGCACUCUAAACGGCGUCAAACAAUUAUGCAUGUUGCAAAAACGGAUCCUACGCAAAAAUCUACACUAUAUACAUAUCUAAAUCAUAGCGAUCCAACAUACGGAUUAAAAACUACGGAAGUUAGAAAUAUAGCCUAUUUCUGAAAAGAAUAAAAUUCGGAUUAAAUCCUAAAAUACUACUGGGCCGAAUCUACACUACACGGGCCUAAAUAGAGCGACGACGAUAGCUAAUGCACGCCUAGGCGAGAAAUAGGUUUGGGGGAGGGGUCUCACCAGAGGGCCUUCGGGUCGGUUGGGAGGCCGCAACAGAGGGGAGGUGGCCGACUUGGGCCGGUCGCGGAGGUGGGCCUCACGGCGAAUCGGUCGGCCUGGGCGCUGGGCGAGCGAGGCCCGGGUGCGCGGUCAACGCCAGGGAGGGGUUCCCCUCGUGUCCCUCCCGCCGCCUCCUGGGAGCGAGGCCACGAGGGCAGAUCGGCGGCUCCUCGAUCGACCCUGACAACGGCAGCGGUACACGACGAGGCUGGAGCAGCCGGGAACGGAUGGGGCGGCGGAGGCCGACCGAGUCCGUCUACUCCACACCGGAUCCAUGCGGCAGAAGGCGAGGACGGGGCAACGAGGGACGACGGCUACAGAUCGAGGCAAGGGCGGCGGGCUUAGGCGGCGAGCAGGGGAGAAUCGCGACGAGCGGCGGCGGCUAGAUCCGGCGACCGGCGGUAGAGGGAGCUGCUCGGGGCACCUCGGCGAGGGGCUGGUGGGGGUGCCCCGGCGAGGCAGCUCGGAGCUCGGGCAUGGGAGCUCGGUGCCAUGGGUAGGAGCCCGUGGAGCUCGCAGGGGCGGCGGAUCUGGGCCCGGGACGGGCCUGUUGCGGGCCCGACGGGCCCUGGCAGCUAGCAGGAGGUGGGUGGAGCUGAGUUGCGGCUAGGGUUUGAGGGGUGGCGCGGAUUUCGAGGAGGAGAGAGGAGUGGCUGCCUAUUUAUAGACAUAGGGGCUAGGUUUAUCCGAAUCCGGCCCCGUUUUCGCCCACGCGAUCGUAACCGAACGAACUCGGAUGCGGGGUCGGCUAAAUGACUGUGUAGAGUAGGCUAGCCAGGGAAGAGAGGGAAACGGUGCGGCGCGGCAACGAAUUUAAAAACACCGACAAACGUCCGACGAAUAACCGGAGACGGUGCCGCUACGGUCGACCGUUCGGGUACCACACGGACUCCGAUCGCGACGAAAUUCGACAGGUGGCGUGGCUAUAUUAAAAUAAGACCACACGUCAAAUCUCAACCCGAUCAGAGAAAGUUUUACGCACACUUUUAAAACAGGGUUUCAAAUGAUGCCGCGGGCGCGUGCGAGUAUGGUCGGGCUCAGAACGGACAACGACGAGAGCCGGCAACUAACAACGGAUGCAUGUUUUGAAAACGGGCGACAACGGAGAUGCCGAUGCAAUGCAGAUGAUGCGCAUGAUGCGACAAAUAAAAAUAGACACACGACGAAAACGGAAAGAGAGGGGAAUCUUCUAGAACGUCGGCAUCGGGCUGUCACAAACUUGGAGACAGGCCAUUUGACUAUUUGUGUUAUGCAGAUUAGAGCCUAGUAUUAUUCUGCAUUUUAGGCCAUCGGGCUUAAUACUACUUGAACACAAGCCCUCACGCUCAUUGUUAUUAUAGAUUAUGGCCGAGUCCCAAGGAUUACGUAGUGUCAUACUUAAUAUGACCACGUCCAAAUUUAUUUGUGAACCACAAAGUAUUGGUGACAUCUACUGCAUCAUUUGCACGUUAUCCAUCACUAUCAUGAGAUCUACGUUUUGUCAUUUUGACAAGAUGACUAUCUUCAACGAACUCUUCCAAAUAUUAAUGUGUAUAUAGCCCAAAUUUUAUUUGUGAAUCACAAGGUAUUGGUGACAUCUACUGCACCAUUUGCAUAUUAUCCACCACUACUUUGAGAUCUACAUCUCGUCAUUUCCGCAAGAUGACUAUUGUCAAAGUGCUCUUCCAAAUAUUAAUAUGUGACUACCUCAAGAUGUCAUAAGGUAAUAUUGGCAUCUACUGCAAAAUUUUGCAGACUAUGCAUUAUUACUGCAAGGUCUACAUCAUGUCAGUUUGAUAGAUGACUACCUUUAAAGUGAUUUUAUUACAAAUAGCAUAACAUAAGGUAAUAGAAUUAUGAACAUCUACUGACAAUAGUCAGACUAUGUUUUCUAUUACUGCGAGAUCUACACCAUAUUGGUGAUUAUCUUCAAAGUGUUAUCCUAUAUAAAUUGUGGUCUACACAUAUGGUUAUAAGGCAUCAGUCGUACUAAAAUUUGCUCCUGUGAAGCAUUUAUUGUUGUUGUUCACUAAAAUAUUUUACUCUCAUAGUAAAUAUUGUUCUUGCACAUUUUGCUUGAAUAUGUCAUAGGAAAUUAUGAAAAUAUUUGCAUAUACAUGUGAUUACUUCUACUACAUUCGUAAAAUGCAUGGCAAUGGAGCCUACGUCACUAUUUCUAAUUAUAGUGUCAUCCAUCCAUCAAGAUGGAUGCCAUAAUUUAUAACGAGUGUCUCAAACACUAUUGCAACAUCCACAUCACAUUGUGCUUGUUAUUUUCAUAGUGACAAAGCAAUGUUAAAAUUAUAAAGUCUAUGUUUUUGGCCGUGACUAUAAAGUCACACUUUUUAUCGCGAAUGAAGCCCAAAACAUUAGCAUCGAUUUCAUCGCAUGCACUAUAUUGAAAGUUUACACCCCAUGUUCACCAAGCAUCACCUUGACGGAUUGUGCUCAACAAGAUCAUUUCAUUCAUAUAUUUUAUUUUACUCUAAGAAGUAAAUUAAACAAUGCAUGAUCAUUUCAUGUAACACAUGACUAUUCUAUUGAUGCACAUAUGCAUUUUAUAUGUCACCAACUUCACUUAGUUAUCAAACUAAGUACAUAAUGGAUGAAUAUUUAUUCACCUUGAAUAUUUCCCUUAAGAUAAACAUGUUGCCAUGAGUACAUCAUGAAUAAUCACCCAUUCGUUUCUCAAGACCCCAAGUCUAUCGCAGCUCACAUUUUUGUCACUCAAUCAACUUUAAGUUGAGAUCUCAUGAUCAAAUAUUUUCAUCCGACGAUCCAGUUGAAAAUCCCUCAAUCUUCUUAUGAUAGUCCUACCAUUUUCAUGAUGAAGAAACAUGGAAUUUCAUAAAAUCAUCAGAUUCACCCAACGGGUGCUAUUCCAUUAUUUGAAAUUCUUGCUAGUAUUGUGAAUAAUAAUCAAGUCAUUGGUCACAAAAAUAGAACCAUGAUGUAUUCAAGGUAAAGUGGAGGCUAAAAUACAACCAAAGAUGGAAUUAUUUCUUAAUAGGGAAUAUAUCGUUUUCCAACGAUCAACGACAACUCUCAAGUUUGUCAAAUGUGUGGUUAUUUAAACAUCGUACGUAUGAUUACAAACCCUCAAACAUAUGGUCAAACCACACUGCAAAUUUAUUAAAAAUGCAAAGAAGUCAUUGGGAUAAAUUUGAAAAACUGCAAACUCAUAACUGGAAACUAUUCUGGUAAAUGAUUGUUAUCAAAUCUUCCUCAGAACGAGAACCAAAAAUCUAGUGCAAGAAAAGGUUGGUCAAUUCCUUUGCACCCAAGAUAUGUUUGCAUAUAUAAAAAAAUCACUAAUAUUGGAGACCUCAUGUAAUCUCCUGAUUAUUCCCAAAAUAUCAUUAUCCUAUACUUGUAUUAUUACAUGUAGAGUGAUGUCCAAUAUCCUAUUUUUCGGCCAUGAUAUUUGAUAAACUUUGAAUGUAUGAAUCAAUUCAUACUCAAUAUUGUUGCGUACACAAUGUUUUUCUAAGUAUUAAUAAAUUAAAUAUUAAGUUUAAUAGCCUUAGCCAUCCUAGUUUGGGGAUGAUUAGAAAAUUAUUGACAAUUCUAUUGGUCACAACUUAACAAGUUGCAAAAUUUCCCAAAUCAACAGAUUUUAUGUGCACUGCAUGUGCCAUAGGGGUAAUAAGUUUUAGGGCUCUCUCACCUUAAAAAUUCAAAUGAGCCACUCAUUCUUCCUUGAACACAUUCAGAAGAUAUGUGGAUUACUCAACCAUUUUGUGGUAUUAUAUAGAUACUUCAUGAUACUCAUGGAAACAUUUAUAAAACAAUUUCCAGUGUGUCUCUUGUCACACAAACCAUGAAUGUUAUAACUAAAUUAAUUGCUCAAAUUAUCAAAGUAAGAGCAAGUUCGAAUGGAAAACUUCGUUGAACUCAUUUCACAAGCAAUGUCUAAUUAUACAUAAUACUUUAUGUACAUACACAUAAUGGUUUAAUUCAAUAUGUUAUCAAAGAUAGUGAAAUUAAUAAUAUGGCCAAACUUAUAGAAUCGUAAUUUACUAGCCUCAUGCUAGACAAAUACGAAAUUACACACCGUAAGUAUGAUAUAAAUCAUACCAACUGCAUAGCAUACUACUUUCCUCUUGUAGUAAUUAUGUGGAAAGGAACAAAGUAUUUCCUAUCUGCGAUAAUUCGGUUACAUACCGAUAUCACCACUCCAACAUACAUCAAUGGGCUCUCACAAAAAAAUAGGGAUCUAUAUGAGGAAUAACAAUUUAUUCGUCAAUCAAAAUUAUUCAUAGCCCGUAUGCUAAUUGCAUCAGCAAUAAGGACAUUUCUCGCAUUAGGGGGAGAUAAGUACCACAAAGAAUGCCAAGAAAUAAAUUAGAAAUGUUAUUCGCAUUCAGUCCUUAUAUCCACGUACUCAAAGAAUCUAAACUAGAAGUUUAGAAUCACAUAUUUGCAAGUCAUUGCAAAUUUGCCACAUAAGUUUACUGAUAACAAAGGUGUCACCCAAUUUUAUAUUCCUGCAGUAAAGUGUCAGAAAGAUUGGAAGUACCUGACAAACCACUCUUCUCCCCAAAUGAGAGCAAUAGGGGGAGAAAUCUGACCACACGAGAUAUAAUCUCUUAUAUGCUUCCGCGGAAAUAGAGGAAAUCAAAUCCUUAACCAGUAAAUGUAAUUCAACAUCAAGUUGAAAGACACCUCACUGGAUGCUCAUCAUCCAAAGCCCGGCAUAGAUGUGCACAAAUGUUUUGGUGCCGGGACAUCGAAACACCUUGACUCCAUCGUUGUAGGAAAUCACAAGGAGUUAAAAGGAAUAAAUACAUUUCCACAAAUUUCAUUGAUUUCUUCAGAAUCAUAUAACAUAAGUCUACAUUUGUCAACAUAUAUUUCUUCUCCAAAUUGCUAAAACCUUUUGGGCCCUGAACCAAAAUCCAUGGUAGAGUGCCUCUUGUACUCAUAUUGGUUCACAUAAAAGGAAGCAAGUAAUGAAGAAUAGUACUCGCUCAUCAAAGAGUGGUAUUUACCAAAGUAAUACCUACUCCUCAUAAGUAUCUUCCAUAUGGAAUACUAAAAACUUCUCAUUCAUAGAUAAAGUCAAUGAGGUGGUGAAAAAGCGAGGCUUGUAGCAAAAGGGUUCACGCACAGACCCGACAUCGAUUACGAUGUAACAUACCUUCUUGGUAUGAGUGGAACUAUGGUUCGAUAAUAAAUAUCAUUGGCAGUACAAAUAGAAUUAUCCAUGCAGUUAAUGGAUGUAGUGAUUACAUACUCAUAUGAGUCACUCAUUUCGGAAAACUAUAUUAAAUUCCCUGAAGGGCUUCAUUUCCGAAUAAAAAAACAAAUCGCAACAUCUAUUGUGUAAAACUUCAUAAGUCACUAUAUGACUAGAAACAGUCGUGAAUCAUAUGGUACUACCGACUAGACGAGUUCCUUCUUCAGAGGAUUACUCAAAGGAUGAUGAUUGUUUAUGUGUUAAUAAAGGAAUCCCAAAAUUUUAUUUCCUUACAUCACCUCAGUAUAUAUCGAUGAUUUCAUCAUCAAUGUCUCUACAAGACCUAAACAUACACAAAAUCAUAUCAAGACAGAAAAUUUGGUUUCAACCAAAAUUAGCUUAAGUUUACAACUUGAGCAUUCUCUCAAGAAUACAUAUCAGUCUACAUAUAUCCAAAACAUAUACGAGAAGUUCUAUUUGGAUAUAUCAUAUCAAUAAAUGAUAUGUAUGGUCAUACCACCCUAAUAGGGUACACAUCCAUCCAUAUCUAGAGGUGAUAAUGAAGUGAUACUAGGACCUGAAGUUCUAUAUCUCACUAAUAUCAAAGCACUCAUAUACUUGCAAACUAAGUCAGGCGUUGUCGUGGGUAUAAGUCUGACAGUAGAUGUGUAGGGUACGAAAGGAUGGGUAGAGCCUUAGCUACGGCGAGGUUGUAUGAGUUCAGGCCCCUCUACGAUGGAGGUAAAACCCUACGUCUCAGUGCUCUUGGGAGCUUGUUGUCGAGUGGAAUAUGGAUUACAGUGAAUUGCUAACCCCUGCACGAGUGGAGAAGGGUGGCUUAUAUAGAGUGCGCUACCCUUCAUAACGGUUCGGUGCACGGGGGUGGAGUAGUGGCGAAUAAAUGCCUACGUUACAGGUAACGUAUGUAUUUAAUGCUAAUAAAGGUACAUGGAAACGUAUGACUGUUGCCCUCCAGGGGGGUUACGAUGCACAGAGUGGAAUCCAGUCGGUAAGUUCGAUGCGCUCCGAAUGCUCACCUCCGACUGGAUGAUGGAGGAAUCGUCACCGACUGGAUGAUGGGAAGUCCUUAAUUCAGUCGGAACUGACUAAGGGCCUUAUCCCUUAUGAAGGGUAGUCCUUGGGUAGGACUCAUAGGGCAGGCCUAUGACCCUACCCUAGGACUAUAACCCCAUCAUUAGUCCCCGAAUGGAUUGGGGUUGGAACGACGAAGCGAUGCUUGGAGUACGGAUGCGACUUUGGCGUUGUUUGCCUCGAUCCAUUUUAUCCUCUUUGACCAGUGAUCCGAGUGGAUGUAUUUGUGAAACGAACCGUCAGGGACCGAGUGCUUCCGUGGUAUCUUUUGAUGUGACUAGUGAACUGACAGCGGCGGAUUUUCCGGGAUCCUCAAAUUUCGGUUGUCGCGCGCUCAGCGGGGAUGACGACAUCGUAAUCGAGUAGUAUCUGCCGCCUCGAUUUCCGCGCCUUUAUCUUCUCCACUAAUAUCGCAGCAACCGGUCGAGGGAUAAGAUUUCGGGGCCACCUGCUAGUGACCCAGUCGGAACCUUAUUUAAACCUCUACCGCGAGGGUUUUUCGUUGCACUCGCCGGAUAGCUCGCACUUGCCCCGCUUCUCUCGCCAUCCCCUGCGCAUCCCAAGCUCCUUCCUUCUCCUUCUCCCUCGCGGAUCUGCAGCCUCCGCCAUGACAAAGGGGCAGACUAGCAAGCUCGAGGCGCGGAAGAAGAAGGGGAAGGCGGCGGCUCCUGCUCAGCGGCGGCAGCGAGCACCGCUGGGGGUUGGAUCCAGGGGGAUUUCCUCCCCUCCAUGGUGACAGAGGGGUACUUGCUGGAGUUGGUGGAGCACGUCAUGAUCGAGCACAAGACGUGGAGGUUGCCGGCGGAGGGCGAGACCGAGCCGGUGCCCCAGGAGGGGGAGCGCGUCUUGCUGCUCAGUCACGUGCACUGAGGCUUCUCUCUGCCUCCUCAUCCCUUCUUCAGAGGUAUAUUGAACCACUUCGGGGCGCAUCUCCACCAUUUUCCUCCCAACGCAAUAGCUCAUCUCUCCGCCUUCGUCGUGCUGUGCGAGUGCUUUAUCAGCUGUCCUCCCCAUUGGGGGCUUUUUAAGCACAUCUUCUCUGCUAGAUCUCAAACCAUAAAAAGGCUGAGCCAGUCGGAUGACAAAACGCACCCCCUCCAGCUCUGCGGAGGCUUAGGCUUCCAAAAGAAAGUAAAAGUAGCUAUCCCGCUCUUCAGCUGUCUGAAUCCGUUAGAAACUGGCAGUCGACUUGGUUUUACUGCCAGGACGUUGCUAGCCCGAAUGCCACCACUCGACUACCACCUUUUAGCUUAGACCGACCGGCUCCGCCUAGGCAGCUCGCGCUCACGAAGAUGGAGAAGAUCCAGAUCCAGCCUCUGGUCGAUGCGCUUGUAGAGGUUGUCCGAAAGGGAGUCACUGGCAUAGAUUUGCUGGAGGUUUUUCUGGGUCGGCGUAUCCAGCCUCUGCAAGCUCGACACCACACCAUGUGGCACUACACGGGGCCCGAGGACUCCACUCGGACUAACCCCGAGUGCGUGACCGGGGAGCUCGUGGCGUCGUGGGUCCUCAACAUCACAGGCGCCUGCGAUAAUCCCAGAGGAGCCCGGCGAGUGAUGCCCUUCCGCGCGGACAACCCUCCUCCGAAUGAGGUGAGUACAACUUGUCGAGUGCACCCAAUUGUCUUAGAUUUAUCGCUUUUUCUUGUAUUACUGUGUGACGUCUGAUGUUGUCGACUAUAUCUCGUGCAGGUGUGGACCAACUGGUUUUCUCCUGUCUCGAACGGGAAUCCGGCCGAGGAGGAAGAAGGCAGCCAGGAGGGCAGCGUGGAGAGCGCCGAGUACGUCUCCGACAGUGGGGAGACGGAGGAGGAGUCCGAAGAAGAAGAGGGGGAAGAUGAGGAGCAGAACUCGCCGCACCGACCUCUAGAGCCUCGAACCAAACGCCGCCAUGAACCCGUGGCUCCGUCGGCUCCUCCAGCGGCCUCGAGUGCUCCGCCAGCCGCUCCUAUGGUUCCGAGUGCCUCGCCAGCUGCUCCCGUGGUUCCGAGUGCUCGGAGCACAAAGAGAACCAGGGACUCUGCUCCUGAGCCCGCAGGCCAGCCCUCUAAGGUGGCCAAACCGAGUGGAUCCAAGCCUCGGAAGGCUUUGCCCCGGAUGAGGAUCGUCGUUCCCGUCGCCUCAGCGUAAGUGCAUUGUUCUUCCAUCUUCUUCCAGCGUUUGAUUGAACUCAUGCUUAUCGGUCGAAUGAAUUUUACUCGACAGAGCUGCCACCUCCGCCACCUCUCCGCCACGCCAGGGGGACGAUCCCAUGGACAUGGACAAUGUUGUCACAUCCCAACCAGGUGCGUCGUAGCGAUUCCGAGAGCUUUACAUUAUUGCAUCACGAAUUCUGUCUUUGGUCUUGCCUUUUUCCUGUGGUCUCACGCCGUUCGGUCGGGUUUCCCUCAGAGGUGCUUUAUGUGGAGGAGGGCGACCAGAGGAGGUCCGAGCAAGCUGCGGUGCCUGUCCUUGAGGCUGUUCCACUGGUUACUACUCCCGCCAUGGACGCACCGCCAACUGAGACGAUGCCGUCGACUGGAAUGGCGCUUAUCGCUGCUGAACCGACUGGAGCAGGACUUGGGAUGCCCAAGGAGUCUCCCAUGAUGCCAGGUCCGUCGACUGUCCAGUACGACGUCCAGCGCCUCCUGGAAGAUCCUCUCCCNNNNNNNNNNNNNNNNNNNNNNNNNNNNNNNNNNNNNNNNNNNNNNNNNNNNNNNNNNNNNNNNNNNNNNNNNNNNNNNNNNNNNNNNNNNNNNNNNNNNACCUUUUCAGGUCUGGCCGCCUCUCUCCUCUCCCCCUAUUUAUAGGAGGGAGGGGAAGGGGUGGCGCCAUGACCUAAUUGGGGCCGGGUCGCGCACCAUGACCACAUUGGGGCCGUGACGAGUGCCACCAAAUUGGGGUCGGCGACGCUAGGAGGAGUCCAUCUCCUAUUCAGACUCCUCUCCACCUCCUCACUUUUGGGCGCAUAUGCCUGAUACGUCUCAAACAUAUCUAUAAUUUUUAUGGUUUCAUGCUGUUAUCUUGUCUUCUUUGGUUGUUUUAUGUACCUUUUAUAUCUUUUUGGGACUAACUUAAUAAUUUAGUGCCAAGUGCCAGUUCGUGUUUUUUCCGUGUUUUGACUCUUUUCAGAUCUGAUUUUGGAACGGAGUCCAAACGGAAGAAAACCCCGAAACGAUUUUUUCCCGAACGGAAGAAGACCAGGGGGCUUUUGGGCCAAGCCAGGUGGGCUCCAGGGAGCCCACAAGUCCCCACUAGGGGGGAGGCAGCGGUGGGCAGGCUUGUGGCCUCCCUGGCCGCCCCCUGACCUAGGUCUUUGGCCUAUAAAUUCCCAAAUAUUCCGCAAAAAAUCCGGGGAGCCUCGAAAAUACUUUUCCGCCGCCGCAAGCUUCCGUUUCCGAGAGAUCUCAUCUGGAGACCCUUCAUGGCACCCUGCCGGAGGGGACUUUAGAAUUGGAGGGCUUCNNNNNNNNNNNNNNNNNNNNNNNNNNNNNNNNNNNNNNNNNNNNNNNNNNNNNNNNNNNNNNNNNNNNNNNNNNNNNNNNNNNNNNNNNNNNNNNNNNNNCUCAUGAAGCUGUGCUAUAAAUUCCAUUUUAAACUUGUUAUAGGUUGUACCGUUAAUCGCCACUAGAUGCCACACAAAACCAUCACUUUUGCUCUUAACAGUAGCAACACAACAUAGUUUUAUCCACAAAACCUAUAGUCUCAAACAACUCAUUAUUCAGACCCGCAAGGAUCCCCGCAGCAGUGUUAGCAGCAGGAAGCGAAUGCCACGUAAAAUCCCUACCGCCAGUAAUAUUUUUAAAAUGUGGUCACCAAUCACCUCCUUCUUGGUCUCAAAGAAACCAACAAAGUCAACUUUAUUAGUUUUCAGAAAAUCACCAAGGCACUGUAAUUUACCACGUUUCCAAAAGGCCAGAAUAAUUUGAUUUUAAAAGGGUGUAAUACCCACAAGGCUUAGAUUUUGUAUGCAGUUUAGGCUUCUCCACCUCCGCCUCUAAAAGUGCCCCCCUACUGCGAAAAGGUGAGAAAGACCUAGUAUCACUCUCAAGCUGCCCAAAAAUCUAUGUCUAGAUUAUCAGGGAGAACAAUAUCGGUGUUGCUAUUAGCGAAUUGAAUGCCUUUAAUUUUUCNNNNNNNNNNNNNNNNNNNNNNNNNNNNNNNNNNNNNNNNNNNNNNNNNNNNNNNNNNNNNNNNNNNNNNNNNNNNNNNNNNNNNNNNNNNNNNNNNNNNACGGCAUACACGUUUCAUGUGCCGGCCAGCCUCAAGACCUUCAUGUGGAGAGGGUGGACACCGGGGGCCAGUUACCGACGGUAAUGACGCCCUCAAGGCCAUCCUGGCCUGAAAAAUGUUAAAAUUUUGCAGAGAGAUCGUGUUGUACCAUACCAUGACCAAACCGGUUGGGUCGAACCUAGAUGAGAUGUUGUACGAUUACUUGUGGACUGUAGAAACUGUGCCGUGUAAGGAUGAUGUUGUAGGGGGUUCGUGAGGGAUGUUGUAGAUGUUGUUGCCUGUCUGAUGUGAAUACCAAGCACACAGCGCUUGCUGUUGCUAGUGUGACAUUUUGUUUCGCCCUUUGUCGGCUUGCAUUGCACAGUCCGUUG
rnacentral:lncRNA from 1 species